UUUUGCUAGAGUGUGUAGAGAUUUUUUGUCUUUUUUUUUCUUGUUGCAGGCACUGAGGUCAAGUGCCUGCUGUUAUGCCUGAGUCCAGUAGUGGUUGAAUCACUGGUGUUGGGCUGUAGGUGAGUAAUAUUCCAGAAACAAGAAGUCUGGCAGCACUGCCCUUCUUUUAGGAGGAUGAGUGCUAGUGUGGACCAGGUGUGAAGACACUGCAGUAUCAUUUCUACCUGGCAUACACGUGUGUGUCAGUCUCCUCUAGCUGCCCUGAUCCAUCUGCUCUUCACAUAUGCUUUCACUUGUCUCCAUGAUCACCUCCAUCAGCCCCACGUAGUCACCCUCAGCGAGAGAGAUGCCAGAGUCAUUAGUGGAUGGGCUUUCUGCUCUUCUUGUCUCUCUCAUAGGAGCGUUACUGCUUCUGUUUGCUGUAUCUCUCGUGCUCCUGGAAGCCUCCGAUGGAUGCUGGUCUGGUGCACUAGCUGCGUCUUCUGAACUCAGACUGGCAUGGAUCUGCAUGUAUCUGUGUUUUCUGUGCACUCAUAUGGAGCACCUUACAGACACAUGCUUUGCUUCCUUGUGGCUUUACAGUUGUAUCCUAGAGACCUUCAUUGGACACUGGAAUGUGUGAAUGGUGGUGGAAGUUUGAUCCAGAACACACUACGUGGGUGUCUCCUACGACUACACCUAGAUGUGAGUCAGAUGGUUCCUCCCAGUCCCAAUUUUGUGAAAGACAUUAUAUUCUUUAGCCUCUGCUGCAUGUGGCAUCACCGAUGUGUCAACAGGCCAUGAAAAAUUCUACUCUGUCACCAGUUGGAAAGUGGCAGUGGGGGUAUUUCCCAUCAAAAUGAAUGUAAUAUCCCCAGGGACAGGCAUGGCUCACUGUCUGGACAUCCCACCUCAACAUUUCGGCUCCUUGCCUGACCUCUUAAAUCCCUGCAGUUACACCUGGAGGACUGCAUGAGGAUCUCAGUUGCCUACUGUCACUCACAUUCAGGAUGCCUUGGAGCAGCACGCUGUCCCGGAUCCUCCCCUCAUUCCUUGCUUUCACAGCCAGAUUGGAGAACCACACGCAUGGGAUCCAAAACUUGUUGUGGGGAGAAUUCAAGCUCUCAAACUUCUUGUGCUCUUCAGGUGUCAUGAGGCCUAAGUGGAAAAGAACAGAUGAGAAAGGAAUGGCCAUAGAGAGCAGAAGGUAGUCACCUUAUCUCUUAUAAUUACAGGAAAGACUUGGGCAUUUAGCCUUUGGAUGCAGAAAAGGAUGGCAAGUUUUGUUAAAAUACUGAUUUUUAAAUGGAUGCAAGAAGAAUUUC